GACAGAGGGGGCAAGCGUUGCUCGGAAUCACUGGGCGUAAAGGGCGCGUAGGCGGGAUGGCAAGUCAGUCGUGAAAUCUCUCGGCUCAACCGAGAAACGUCGGCUGAUACUGCCGUUCUUGAGGGAUGCAGAGGAGACUGGAAUUCCCGGUGUAGCGGUGAAAUGUGUAGAGAUCGGGGGGAACACCGGUGGCGAAGACGGGUUGCUGGGCCAACACUGACGCUGAUGCGCGAAAGCCAGGGGAGCAAACGGG
rnacentral:rRNA from 1 species